rnacentral:lncRNA from 1 species
AUGCAUGUACAAUGAAGUAGGUAAGCAACGAACCUGUUAUCAUGUCCAAAGGUGAAGCUAUUCACUCAUUCAUUAACCUCAUUCACUUGUUCAUUAAUCUCAUGGCUUACCCGAAGGCUCGCCUACAGCUCACUAGCCAUCUCGACACGUAGGGAGAAUUAACUCACACUACGGACCCGAGACCGUCUGGCGGGGCCAAAUAGGCAAUCCCUGACGUGACCAACAUCCGGAGCGCACUACUUGUGUGGGGCUUCCAUCACAAGAUUUAAAACAGACCGUGAGCAUGAUCCAAUCCUCGUCUCGAGAAUACCCUAUCCUCUAGGGUUACAAUCAUCAUAUAGUCCAUAGGUUUCACAUACACUAUUAACUAGAUUGCCAAUUGUCCGUUUGUUCGCUAUCGACUAGAUGCCACUCGUUCAGGGUUUACUAUUGACUAGAUGCCACUCAUUCUUUGUUCAUCAUUAGACUAACCAUUGAGCCCAUCAUUUUCUCUACACUAUAGGAUUCACAAGACUCGACCCAAUCCUCACCAAUCCUCUGUAUCCAAUAUCCCAUACAUGCUACGAUAUCAUCAAGGAAAGCAUAAGGAAAGGCAAUGCAUAAUAAUCCUAUAAUGCAAUAAUACAAGAUGCAGAAUCGAAGUGUACUAAGACAUAGAAGGGAGCCCGAUUGCUUCGGGAUGGACACCACCAACCUCUUGGCGAUGUCGCGACAAUAGAAAACUCGACGUUGCGGUUCUUGUACGCCGCUUCAACUCCUCGGGGCGAAGCGAGCCCUCGAGUACCCAAUUCGGCGAUAACUCCGCACUCGCUCGUCGGAUCGGCAAACCGUCUUCGCCGAUACGUUCAAAGACCUAGCAAUUAGGUUAGCGACCCAACAAAUUAGAUCAAAACCCUAGAUUUGCCAAAAUCCCAAUUCUAAGCCCUAGGUCUCAACAACGGAGAAAUCCAUGGUGCGAGCUUCGAUUUCGAGCUCGAACCUUCUAUUUAUCCCUAAUAGGUUCCAUUUGAACCAAUU